rnacentral:rRNA from 1 species
AGAGUUUGAUCCUGGCUCAGGAUGAACGCUGGCGGCGUGCCUAAUACAUGCAAGUCGAGCGAACAGAUGAGAAGCUUGCUUCUCUGAUGUUAGCGGCGGACGGGUGAGUAACACGUGGGUAACCUACCUAUAAGACUGGGAUAACUCCGGGAAACCGGGGCUAAUACCGGAUAAUAUUUUGAACCGCAUGGUUCAAUAGUGAAAGACGGUUUCGGCUGUCACUUGUAGAUGGACCCGCGCCGUAUUAGCUAGUUGGUAAGGUAACGGCUUACCAAGGCGACGAUACGUAGCCGACCUGAGAGGGUGAUCGGCCACACUGGAACUGAGACACGGUCCAGACUCCUACGGGAGGCAGCAGUAGGGAAUCUUCCGCAAUGGGCGAAAGCCUGACGGAGCAACGCCGCGUGAGUGAUGAAGGUCUUCGGAUCGUAAAACUCUGUUGUUAGGGAAGAACAAAUUUGUUAGUAACUGAACAAGUCUUGACGGUACCUAACCAGAAAGCCACGGCUAACUACGUGCCAGCAGCCGCGGUAAUACGUAGGUGGCAAGCGUUAUCCGGAAUUAUUGGGCGUAAAGCGCGCGUAGGCGGUUUCUUAAGUCUGAUGUGAAAGCCCACGGCUCAACCGUGGAGGGUCAUUGGAAACUGGGGAACUUGAGUGCAGAAGAGGAGAGUGGAAUUCCAUGUGUAGCGGUGAAAUGCGCAGAGAUAUGGAGGAACACCAGUGGCGAAGGCGGCUCUCUGGUCUGUAACUGACGCUGAUGUGCGAAAGCGUGGAGAUCAAA